CCGUACCGCAAACCGACACAGGUAGUCAAGAUGAGAAUUCUAAGGUGAGCGAGCGAACUCUCGUUAAGGAACUCGGCAAAAUGACCCCGUAACUUCGGGAGAAGGGGUGCUCUUUAGGGUUAACGCCCAGAAGAGCCGCAGUGAAUAGGCCCAAGCGACUGUUUAUCAAAAACACAGGUCUCUGCUAAACCGUAAGGUGAUGUAUAGGGGCUGACGCCUGCCCGGUGCUGGAAGGUUAAGAGGAGUGGUUAGCUUCUGCGAAGCUACGAAUCGAAGCCCCAGUAAACGGCGGCCGUAACUAUAACGGUCCUAAGGUAGCGAAAUUCCUUGUCGGGUAAGUUCCGACCCGCACGAAAGGCGUAACGAUUUGGGCACUGUCUCAACGAGAGACUCGGUGAAAUCAUAGUACCUGUGAAGAUGCAGGUUACCCGCGACAGGACGGAAAGACCCCGUGGAGCUUUACUGUAGCCUGAUAUUGAAAUUCGGCACAGCUUGUACAGGAUAGGUAGGAGCCUUUGAAACGUGAGCGCUAGCUUACGUGGAGGCGCUGGUGGGAUACUACCCUAGCUGUGUUGGCUUUCUAACCCGCACCACUUAUCGUGGUGGGAGACAGUGUCAGGCGGGCAGUUUGACUGGGGCGGUCGCCUCCUAAAAGGUAACGGAGGCGCUCAAAGGUUCCCUCAGAAUGGUUGGAAAUCAUUCAUAGAGUGUAAAGGCAUAAGGGAGCUUGACUGCGAGACCUACAAGUCGAG
rnacentral:rRNA from 1 species